UAAUAACAGCAUUUUGCUUUUUUUUACAAUGCAUUAUGGGAAGACUUGUUCACUUCGGGUUGCGUGGUCGAUCAACAACAAUUUGACACUGUUAUUUAACAGUACUAUACCCUAUUUUCAUCCAAUGAGCACAAGGCGCCAGUUUGGAAUAUCAGAUUGAGGUAGGUUUGCAACGAUUUAUUAUUUUAUUAUCUUUAAAUGACCUAUUACUUUAAAAUAUAACAUCUUAAACUUCUAAUAAAGCUUCUGUGAUUUAAAUCAGAUGCCUCAAUUAAAUUAUGUGUUUUAACUAACGUUAUAGGCAAAUAAUUGGUCAACCGAUCCCAGACUGCCAUCAUACAGCCAUCUUUAUUACACAACACAGAUGUCUGCCACUCCUGCUGACCUCGAAAAGAUGGGGAACCUGCCUGUGAGUCCUCGUUUGAUCCUGCUUGGUGUUAAUCCGGGCCAAUGGAUGAAACAAUGGAUGAUCAGCCUCGAAGGCCGAAUAAUCUGCGAGGGUGUGCAGCCAACCUUUAUCUCUGGACUUGCUGCAUUGUUCUCUUCGUAUUACAUUUUUAAUUUGCAGUACCAAGAGGAAGCAGCAUCCACACUAGAAUUCCUUCAAAGGUAACAAGUUUGGACUUAUUUUAUUUAUUUCUAAUUAAUAUGUUAGUAUUAGUAUGGUGACAAUAGAAUCCUCAAGCCAUCCUUAC